UGGUCCGAGACCCGAUACUCCAAUACCGUUUGCCAGAUGGUAACAGAGUGGUGAUAAAUAUACUUGUGUAUUGUGUACAGUACUUACGGUUUCUACUGGCUCGCUGCCAGCUGCACAAGAAGGGGUGUGGCCAAAUUCUAUUUGAUGUGACUAUUGGCCAGAAAUACUUUGUGGUUGUCAAUGACGGUAAGUAAUACGUGCAGGGAGUGCAUGUUGCCAUGGUGGACGGGUGGACCACAGGCGUGUUUAGCAGGACACAAAGUUUUAAAACAUUAGUGAAAUUUCACAUAAAGGAAAUUACUUUGAUAACAGAAUUUUCGGCAGUUAAAUCAGAAUCACCUUUAUUCACUAAAUACAUAUGCAUGAAAAGACAUUUGACUCAGUAAAAUAGUCCUCCAUCCCAUCAGAAAUGUCCCAUCCACAUAGUAGGGUUUUAGAUCUGCAGAUAGACCAAAGCCCAGUCUAUUUUAAAAUGACUAUAGUAUUUAAAAACAGAUGUUAUCGUUUUAGUAAUGAACCUAGCUAGCUAGUAAAAUGUACUUUUUUUGUCUUUCAGAUGGGCGGACUGGAAGCCCAGUGACAACAGUCUGGGUCUGCUGCUGCUAUUUUCCGUUGGGAAAGAGAAAUGGCCCUAUUUUUACCAGAAAAGGAAGCUCAUCCACCAUGGCAGAAGAGGAAGAUCCAGACUGUUGAUUGGGAAACAAGAACAAACUUUGAGGCAUGUUGAGGGACCACUUGCCACGUUGUCCGAGGUGGGUUUGUGUUAUGAUAAACAAUGCAUUUUCUGUCCAGAUAAAGAUGAUGAUACAGCAUUGAAAAAUACCUACCAGUGCAUUCCUCAGACCAUCCGGUGCAUGGAUAUCCUGUGCCAGUGUGAUGACAUCCUGUACCAGUAUGAUCUGAGCGCAAGCGUCCAGUUGUAGAGACUACAGCAGAUCGAGCCUGUGGACAGACAGUCCAACAGGAGUGCAUCCCUCAGACCAUCCAGUACAUGGACAUCUUAGGCCAGUGUGAAUCGAGCAUCCAGUUAUACCAGGCGGUGUCGGAGGAAGGCCCAAAAAUUGUCAAAGACUCCAGUCACCCAAGUCAUAGACUGUUCCCUUUGCUAACGCACAGCAAGCGGUACCAGAGUGCCAAGUCGAGGUCCAAAAGGCUCUUACCCCCAAGCCAUAAUACUGCUGAACAAUUCAUCAAAUGGCCACCCGGCGUAUGUGACAAACAUAAUUUGAUUCGAUUUUUGAUUUGAUUUGGAGACUACAGCACAUCGAGCCUGUGGACGGACAGACAUGAGGCGUGACAUACGGAACAUCAGGCUCACCCCACGAGAAGCCGUGCAUGAUCAACGACACCCUCAGCAGGGAGAUCUGCUGGCGGUGAUGUACUGUACUCUCUCACUCUGGUGAUAAGACAUAAUUUAAACAUCUCAGAUAUAAAUUCCCACUGUACCCAUGAUAAAAUACAAUGUGAAUUCAGACCAGCCUUUGUGAUUGAAUCUACAUGAACUAAAUGACUUUUGGCUGCUUUGAGCAAAACUUGAAUGUAAUAUAACUUGAAUGUAAUAGCCUAUUGUUUGUAUGAUCUUUAUUCCUUGUUCACUUGUUUUUCAACAAUGUAAUGUACAGACAGGGAUGACUGGGGCCUUCAGCAAGUAAGACACAGGGGUAAAAUAUAAUUUGAACCUCACAGAUUUAAAUUCCCACUGUGCCCAUGAUAAAGUUAACUACAUUACUUUAGUUGGCUACUUUGAGCAAAACUUGUAUGCAGUGGUGAUUUUAGGAUGUAAAUCUUGGUGGGGCAAGCUCACACUGGCCUAAGAUGUCCAUGCACUGGACAGUCUAAAGGAUGCACUCCUGUUGGACUGGAAAACAAAGACACAUUUGGUCAGUGGUAGGUCUUUUUUUUAUAUGCAUGCCAGCCAGCAAAGCCAUUACACAACACAACACAAAACAAUCCAUCAAUUGGACUAUAAAGGUGACAAACAGUGCCCACAAACUGUGAUGGCCUACAUAAAGCUGUCCCAACAGCAGUCCCAACACCUUACAACCACUACACAUGGCUGUCAGCGGAGCCUUGUCUGGCAGCAGAA